AUUGCUUCUUGGCCUUUUGGCUAAGAUCAAGUGUAGUAUCUAUUCUUAUCAGUUUUAUCUGAUAUAUCCUCUAUCUGAGGACAAUAUAUUAAAUAGAUUUUUGGAGCAGGGAGAUGGACUAGGAGCUUGCUCCAUCCACUCCACACAUUGAUCUGCUAUUGUAGUACUUCCAGGAACCAUGCAUUCCUU